rnacentral:rRNA from 1 species
UACGGGGGGAGCAAGCGUUGUUCGGAUUUACUGGGCGUAAAGGGCGCGUAGGCGGCCACCGCAAGUCGGUUGUGAAAUCUCUGGGCUUAACCCAGAAAGGUCAACCGAUACUGCGGGGCUAGAGUGCAGAAGGGGCAACUGGAAUUCUCGGUGUAGCGGUGAAAUGCGCAGAUAUCAGGAGGAACACCGGUGGCGAAGGCGGGUCUCUGGGCAGUAACUGACGCUGAGGAGCGAAAGCGUGGGGAGCGAACAGG